UACGAAGGGGGCUAGCGUUGCUCGGAAUCACUGGGCGUAAAGCGCACGUAGGCGGAUCUUUAAGUCAGGGGUGAAAUCCCAAGGCUCAACCUUGGAACUGCCUUUGAUACUGGGGGAUCUCGAGUCCGGAAGAGGUUGGUGGAACUCCGAGUGUAGAGGUGAAAUUCGUAGAUAUUCGGAAGAACACCAGUGGCGAAGGCGGCCAACUGGUCCGGCACUGACGCUGAGGUGCGAAAGCGUGGGGAGCAAACAGG
rnacentral:rRNA from 1 species